CGCCGCUCUAUUAUAAGGAAUGUCUGCCUCGUAAUCUGUUGACUUGGUCGCCGACGUUGGCGAUGAAGGCGUCGCUGCAGGCCGCGGACGUGCUCGUCGGCUAGCUAAAAUUAGUUAACUAGUUGUUGUGUCCCUGAACCUUUGCCUUUGCCAUCUUUUCUGUCGGUGAGCCUCGUCGGAUCCAUGUUCCAUGCAGUGGCGAGGUAUGGUGCUCGUCAUAGCUGAGACACGGCGAUAACAUCUCUGUCCCCAAUCGGCGGUGAACAAAAACAUGCAAGAGGUAUAAAAAAAUCAAUCUUGCCGCCGCUUCGAUAGUUCAGCGAUUAGAUCAAUCUCCUGUUCAUCUCCCGAGCCAUGACGGGGAAGAAGGAAAAUUGUAAUUGCAUCCAAUAAUUCCUUUCUGCUACUUUAGUUGUUUG
rnacentral:lncRNA from 7 species